AAUCAACGCUGGCGGCGCGCCUAACACAUGCAAGUCGAACGAGAAAGUGGAGCAAUCCAUGAGUACAGUGGCGUACGGGUGAGUAACACGUGGGUGAUCUACCUUUUAGUGAGGAAUAACCAAGGGAAACUUUGGCUAAUACCGCAUAAGCCUGAGAAGGGAAAGCAGAAAUGCGCUGAAAGAGGAGCCCGCGGCCGAUUAGCUAGUUGGUGAGGUAAGAGCCCACCAAGGCAGAGAUCGGUAGCCGGCCUGAGAGGGCACACGGCCACACUGGCACUGAAACACGGGCCAGACUCCUACGGGAGGCAGCAGUGGGGAAGUCUU
rnacentral:rRNA from 1 species